UUUUUGAAGGGAAUUUUGGGUUGUGUUUGACAGGAUUUUUUCCCUGCGCAGGAAGUAAUGAUCGACACUCGUAGGCGGAUCCUGGCUUUAAUUCAGCCACGUCAAUUUCUAAUUCGGUCGAUGAAGCAUAAUCAGCUUCAUAUAUUGGGUCUGUCGCGUCGUAGUCGACAAACGCUACUUUUUCUUUCUUAGCCUUAUUGUGUCUAAAUUUUU
rnacentral:lncRNA from 1 species